rnacentral:tRNA from 2 species
GGACGCUUAGCUCAGUUGGUUAGAGCACUAGUAUCACACACUAGGGGUCCCCGGUUCGAGCCCGGGAGCGUCCACCA